rnacentral:rRNA from 1 species
AGGAAUAUUGGUCAAUGGGCGAGAGCCUGAACCAGCCAAGUAGCGUGAAGGAUGAAGGCUCUAUGGGUCGUAAACUUCUUUUAUAUGGGAAUAAAGUUUUCCACGUGUGGAAUUUUGUAUGUACCAUAUGAAUAAGGAUCGGCUAACUCCGUGCCAGCAGCCGCGGUAAUACGGAGGAUCCGAGCGUUAUCCGGAUUUAUUGGGUUUAAAGGGAGCGUAGGUGGACUGGUAAGUCAGUUGUGAAAGUUUGCGGCUCAACCGUAAAAUUGCAGUUGAUACUGUCAGUCUUGAGUACAGUAGAGGUGGGCGGAAUUCGUGGUGUAGCGGUGAAAUGCUUAGAUAUCACGAAGAACUCCGAUUGCGAAGGCAGCUCACUGGACUGCAACUGACACUGAUGCUCGAAAGUGUGGGUAUCAAACAGGAUUAGAUACCCUGGUAGUCCACACAGUAAACGAUGAAUACUCGCUGUUUGCGAUAUACAGUAAGCGGCCAAGCGAAAGCAUUAAGUAUUCCACCUGGGGAGUACGCCGGCAACGGUGAAACUCAAAGGAAUUGACGGGGGCCCGCACAAGCGGAGGAACAUGUGGUUUAAUUCGAUGAUACGCGAGGAACCUUACCCGGGCUUAAAUUGCAACUGACUGAACCGGAAACGGUUCUUUCUUCGGACAGUUGUGAAGGUGCUGCAUGGUUGUCGUCAGCUCGUGCCGUGAGGUGUCGGCUUAAGUGCCAUAACGAGCGCAACCCUUAUCUUUAGUUACUAACAGGUCAUGCUGAGGACUCUAGAGAGACUGCCGUCGUAAGAUGUGAGGAAGGUGGGGAUGACGUCAAAUCAGCACGGCCCUUACGUCCGGGGCUACACACGUGUUACAAUGGGGGGUACAGAAGGCAGCUACACGGCGACGUGGUGCUAAUCCCGAAAGCCUCUCUCAGUUCGGAUUGGAGUCUGCAACCCGACUCCAUGAAGCUGGAUUCGCUAGUAAUCGCGCAUCAGCCACGGCGCGGUGAAUACGUUCCCGGGCCUUGUACACACCGCCCGUCAAGCCAUGAAAGCCGGGGGUACCUGAAGUACGUAACCGCGAGGAGCGUCCUAGGGUAAAACUGGUGAUUGGGGCUAAGUCGUAACAAGGUAGCCGUACCGGAAGGUGCGGCUG